GGAUGAACGCUAGCUACAGGCUUAACACAUGCAAGUCGAGGGGCAGCAUUGGAGUAGCAAUACUUCAGAUGGCAACCGGCGCACGGGUGAGUAACACGUAUCCAACCUGCCGCUUACUCGGGGAUAGCCUUUCGAAAGAAAGAUUAAUACCCGAUGGUAUAAAGAGUUCGCAUGUUCUCUUUAUUAAAGAAUUUCGGUAAGCGAUGGGGAUGCGUUCCAUUAGAUAGUUGGCGGGGUAACGGCCCACCAAGUCUACGAUGGAUAGGGGUUCUGAGAGGAAGGUCCCCCACAUUGGAACUGAGACACGGUCCAAACUCCUACGGGAGGCAGCAGUGAGGAAUAUUGGUCAAUGGACGAGAGUCUGAACCAGCCAAGUAGCGUGAAGGAUGACUGCCCUAUGGGUUGUAAACUUCUUUUAUAAGGGAAUAAAGUGAGGGACGUGUCCCUUUUUGUAUGUACCUUAUGAAUAAGGAUCGGCUAACUCCGUG
rnacentral:rRNA from 1 species